rnacentral:rRNA from 1 species
AGUACAGUGGCGUACGGGUGAGUAACACGUGACUAACCUACCCUCGAGUGGGGAAUAACCUCGGGAAACCGGGGCUAAUACCGCAUAACAUCUACGGAUCAAAUGCGUAAGCAGCUUGAGGAGGGGGUCGCGGCCGAUUAGCUAGUUGGUGAGGUAAUGGCUCACCAAGGCAAUGAUCGGUAGCCGGCCUGAGAGGGCGCACGGCCACACUGGAACUGAAACACGGUCCAG